CAAAUCAUGGGUGGUGGGAGAGUGGGAGAGGGAGGAUGGGUGUGCGGCUCUGCUGCGUGCUCUCCUGUCCUCUGCCCGCCUGCCGCCGACAUUUGGUCGGGAUGCGAGUCCCGGAUCAUAUUCACGCUUGUGCUGUUUGACAGAGUAACACUAAGUUUAAUUAUGA
rnacentral:misc_RNA from 1 species